GGUUGAUCCUGCCAGUAGUCAUAUGCUUGUCUCUAAGAUUAAGCCAUGCAUGUGUAAGUACACGCCCUGCGUAAGGCCAAACCGCGGAUGGCUCAUUAAAUCAGCUAUCAUUUAUCAGUCGCAGUUACCCUAUUCGGAUAACUGUAGUAAUUCUAGAGCUAAUACGUGCCAACUAUGUCCUGUUCGCAAGAGCGGGAUGGCUUUAUUAGAUCAAAACCAACCACAGCUUGCUGUGUCUGGUUUUGGUGACUCUGGAUAACGUACUUAUCGCAUGACCUUGUGUCGGCGAUACGGCUGACAAAUGUCUGCCCUAUCAACUAUAGACGGUAUUAUAGAGGAUUACCGUGGUUGUAACGGGUAACGGGGAAUCAGCGUUCGAUUCCGGAGAGGGAGCCUGAGAAAUGGCCACCACAUCCAAGGAAGGCAGCAGGCGCGCAACUUACCCACUCUUGGUUUAAGGAGGUAGUGACAAAAAAUAACCAAUACCGGCUUUUUAAGCCGGUAUAUGGGAAUGAAUGAAGUUUAAUAAAACUUCAUGAGUAUCCACUGGAGGGCAAGUCUGGUGCCARCACCCGCGGUAAUUCCAGCUCCAGUAGCGUAUAUUAAAGUUGUUGCAGUUAAAAAGCUCGUGGUUGAAUUCCAAGCCAUGUUGGCCAGGUUCGCCUUCGGGUGCUACUUGGCUGGCUGGUUUGUUAAUGUNGGACCCACUUAAAGUGCUCUUCACCGGGUGCUUUAGGUGACCAAUGAGUUUACUUUGAAAAAAUUAGAGUGCUCAAUGCAGGCUUUAGCCUGUAUUCUGUUGCAUGGAAUAAUGAAAUAGGACUUCGGUUCUAUUUUGUUGGUUUAACGGACAGAAGUAAUGAUUAAAAGGGACAGACGGGGGCAUUCGUAUCGCGGGGGGAGGGGUGAAAUCCGUAGAUCCUUGCAAGACGACCAACUGCGAAAGCAUUUGCCAAGAAUGUUUUCAUUAAUCAAGAACGAAAGUCAGAGGUUCGAAGGCGCUUAGAUACCGCCCUAGUUCUGACCAUAAACUAUGCCAUCUAACCAUCUGCAGAGCAUUUUAUGUGUUUCUCAGGAGGUCCCCGGGAAACCUGAAGUUUUCGGGUUCCGGGGGUAGUAUGGUUGCAAGGUUGAAACUUAAAGGAAUUGACGGAAGGGCACCACCAGGAGUGGAGCCUGUUGCUUAAUUUGACUCAACACGGGAAAACUUACCCGGCCCGGACACUUUAAGGAUUGACAGAUUGAGAGCUCUUUCUUGAUUAAGUGGAUGGUGGUGCAUGGCCGUUUUUAGUUGGUGGAGUGAUUUGUCUGGUUUAUUCCGAUAACGAACGAGACUCUGGCCUAUUAAAUAGUGGACGGAAACAUUGUUUCCGGUUUCACUUCUUAAAGGGAUAAUAGAUGACAAAUCUAAUGAGAAAGAGCAAAAACAGGUCUGUGAUGCCCUUAGAUGUCCGGGGCCGCUAACGCGCUACACUGGCAAGGUCAAUAAGUUAUUCCGAUGCCGAAAGGCUGAGGUAACCUUAUGAAUCCUUGUCGUGACCGGGAUCGUGGUUUGUAAUUAUCCCACGUGAACGAGGAAUUCCCAGUAAGUGCAAGUCAUUAGCUUGCGCUGAUUACGUCCCUGCCCUUUGUACACACCGCCCGUCGCUACUACCGAUUGGAUGGUUUAGUGAGGUUAUUGGAUCGGCGUUGACUGAGGUGGUUAAACAUCUUGUCGACUGCUGAGAAGAUAAUCAAACUUGAUCAUUUAGAGGAAGUAAAAGUCGUAACAAGGUUUCCGUAGGUGAACCUGCGGAA
rnacentral:rRNA from 1 species